rnacentral:rRNA from 1 species
UGGCAGUCUUGAGUGCAGUAGAGGUGGGCGGAAUUCGUGGUGUAGCGGUGAAAUGCUUAGAUAUCACGAAGAACUCCGAUUGCGAAGGCAGCUCACUGGAGUGUAACUGACGCUGAUGCUCGAAAGUGUGGGUAUCAAACAGGAUUAGAUACCCUGGUAGUCCACACAGUAAACGAUGAAUACUCGCUGUUUGCGAUAUACAGUAAGCGGCCAAGCGAAAGCAUUAAGUAUUCCACCUGGGGAGUACGCCGGCAACGGUGAAACUCAAAGGAAUUGACGGGGGCCCGCACAAGCGGAGGAACAUGUGGUUUAAUUCGAUGAUACGCGAGGAACCUUACCCGGGCUUAAAUUGCAAAUGAAUUAUGGGGAAACCCAUACGCCGCAAGGCAUUUGUGAAGGUGCUGCAUGGUUGUCGUCAGCUCGUGCCGUGAGGUGUCGGCUUAAGUGCCAUAACGAGCGCAACCCUUAUCUUCAGUUACUAACAGGUCAUGCUGAGGACUCUGGAGAGACUGCCGUCGUAAGAUGUGAGGAAGGUGGGGAUGACGUCAAAUCAGCACGGCCCUUACGUCCGGGGCUACACACGUGUUACAAUGGGGGGUACAGAAGGCCGCUACCUGGUGACAGGAUGCCAAUCCCAAAAACCUCUCUCAGUUCGGAUCGAAGUCUGCAACCCGACUUCGUGAAGCUGGAUU